GGUCGGAUGGUGUAGUUGGUUAUCACGUAUGCUUCACACGCAUAAGGUCUCCGGUUCGAGCCCGGGUUCGAUCA
rnacentral:tRNA from 1 species